rnacentral:rRNA from 1 species
GUGUCAGCAGCCGCGGUAAUACAGAGAGUGCGAACGUUGUUCGGAAUUACUGGGCUUAAAGCGCACGUAGGCGGUGCUGUAAGUGUCAGGUGAAAUCCCACGGCUCACCCGUGGAACUGCCUGGCAGACUGCAGUACUAGAGUGUGGUAGGGGAGAGCGGAACUCCUGGUGGAGCGGUGAAAUGCGUAGAUAUCAGGAGGAACACCGGUGGCGAAGGCGGCUCUCUGGUCCACAACUGACGCUGAGGUGCGAAAGCUAGGGGAGCAAACGGGAUUAGAAACCCGAGUAGUCC